CAAACUUCAUUGUUCUAUUUCAUCCAUCAAGCCGCUGUAGCUCUUAUCACACCCAAAUUCCGUCGGUUGGGAGUUGGUUAUCACCGUUGUCUGCCAUCCCCAUAGCCACUUACAUGGAAGAACGCAGUAGAUUGUGAGCUUUGAAGAGUGGAAUGGGUUGAAGGUUUGAAGAGUGAAGUGGAUUGAAGCUUUGCUACUUUUCUUUCAUAGUCUUUAAUUGAGAGUGGAUGUAAUUGGGAGUGAAUGCCUUGGUGCUUUAUGUAAAUCUGAAUGUUAUGAAACGAUCAAGAGCUUUAUUUAUUAUUCAAUGUAAUGCCGAAUGUUUCGAAGCUA